rnacentral:rRNA from 1 species
UACGAAGGGGGCUAGCGUUGCUCGGAAUCACUGGGCGUAAAGGGUGCGUAGGCGGGUCUUUAAGUCAGGGGUGAAAUCCUGGAGCUCAACUCCAGAACUGCCUUUGAUACUGAAGAUCUUGAGUUCGGGAGAGGUGAGUGGAACUGCGAGUGUAGAGGUGAAAUUCGUAGAUAUUCGCAAGAACACCAGUGGCGAAGGCGGCUCACUGGGACGUGACUGACGCUGAGACGCGAAAGCGUGGGGAGCAAACAGG